rnacentral:rRNA from 1 species
CCGGACCUCACUGCUAUCGGGGUGAGAUUUAGCCAUGCAAGUCAUGCGCCUCCAAGCUAUGAUGGGGGUGCGGCAUACGGCUCCGUAACACGUGGCCAACCUACCCUUGGGACGAGGAUAACCCCGGGAAACUGGGGCUAAUAAUCGAUAGGUAGGAGUGCCUGGAAUGGUCUCCUACUGAAAAGACGUCGAGAUCAUGCUUCUCGACUUUGCCCAUGGAUGGGGCUGCGGCCGAUCAGGUUGUUGGUAGGGUAAUGGCCUACCAAGCCUAUAACCGGUACGGGCCCUGAGAGGGGGUGCCCGGAGAUGGGAACUGAGACAAGGUCCCAAGCCCUAAGGGGCGCAGCAGGCGCGAAACCUCCACAAUACGCGAAAGCGUGAUGGGGUUACCCCGAGUGCCGUCCGAAGAGGAUGGCUUUUCCUCGGUGUAAAGAGCCGAGGGUAAUAAGAGGGGGGCAAGACUGGUGUCAGCCGCCGCGGUAAUACCAGCUCCUCGAGUGGUGAGGACGAUUACUGGGCCUAAAGCGUUCGUAGCCUGCUUGGUGAGUCCUUCGUGAAAUCCGUCGACUUAAUCGUCGGGAGUGCGAAGGAGACCGCCAAGCUAGGGGGCGGGAGAAGUCGACGGUAUUCCCGGGGUAGGGGUGAAAUCCUAUAAUCCCGGGAGGACCACCAGUGGCGAAGGCGGUCGACUAGAACGUGCCCGACGGUGAUGGACGAAAGCUGGGGGAGCGAACCGGAUUAGAUACCCGGGUAGUCCCAGCCGUAAACGAUGCAGGCUAGGUGUUGGGGG